rnacentral:rRNA from 1 species
UGGGAGUGAGAAUGUUGGCAUGAGUAGCGAGAUGUGGGUGAGAAUCCCACAGGCCGUAAACCCAAGGUUUCCAGGGGAAGGGUCGUCCGCCCUGGGUUAGUCGGGACCUAAGCUGAGGCCGAAAGGCGUAGGUGAUGGACAACAGGUUGAUAUUCCUGUACUACCGAUAACCGUUUGAGAGAUGGGAUGACACAGUAGGAUAAGCUAAGCACACUGUUGGUUAUG